AGCGAACGCCGGCGGAAUGCUUAACACAUGCAAGUCGCACGCCCUGCAAGGGGAGUGGCGGACGGGUGAGUAACGCGUAGGAAUAUGUCCAGAGGUGGGGGACAACCCUGGGAAACUGGGGCUAAUACCGCAUAUGGGCUGAGGCCCAAAGCAGUGAUGCGCCUUUGGAGUAGCCUGCGUCCGAUUAGCUUGUUGGUGGGGUAAAGGCUUACCAAGGCGACGAUCGGUAGCUGGUCUGAGAGAACGACCAGCCACACUGGGACUGAGACACGGCCCAGACUCCUACGGGAGGCAGCAGUGGGGAAUAUUGGACAAUGGGCGCAAGCCUGAUCCAGCAAUUCCGCGUGGGUGAAGAAGGUCUUCGGAUUGUAAAGCCCUUUCGACGGGGACGAUGAUGACGGUACCCGUAGAAGAAGCCCCGGCUAACUUCGUGCCAGCAGCCGCCGUAA
rnacentral:rRNA from 1 species